ensembl:rRNA 5S_rRNA 5S ribosomal RNA
UUCUCCGGCCAUGCCGCCCUGAAUGUGCCCGAUCUCAUCUGAUCUCGGAAGCUAAGCAGGGUUGGGCUUGGUUAGUACUUGGAUGGGAGAGCACCUAGGAAGACCAGGUGCUAUAGGCA